UACAGAGGUCUCGAGCGUUGUUCGGAUUCAUUGGGCGUAAAGGGUGCGUAGGUGGCCGUGUAAGUCAGAUGUGAAAUCCCGGAGCUCAACUCUGGAACUGCAUUUGAUACUGCGUGGCUAGAGUACUGGAGAGGAGACUGGAAUUUACGGUGUAGCAGUGAAAUGCGUAGAUAUCGUAAGGAAGACCAGUGGCGAAGGCGGGUCUCUGGACAGUUCCUGACGCUGAGGCACGAAGGUCAGGGGAGCAAACGGG
rnacentral:rRNA from 1 species